UACGUAGGGGGCAAGCGGUUGUCCGGAUUUAUUGGGCGUAAAGAGCGUGUAGGCGGCUGGGUAGGUCCGCUGUGAAAACUCGAGGCUUAACCUCGAGACGUCGGUGGAAACCCUCCAGCUAGAGUCCGGAAGCAGGAGAGUGGAAUUCCUGGUGUAGCGGUGAAAUGCGCAGAUAUCAGGAAGAACACCCGUGGCGAAAGCGGCUCUCUGGGCCGACACUGACACUGAGCAGACGAAAGCUAGGGGAGCGAAUGGG
rnacentral:rRNA from 1 species